rnacentral:rRNA from 1 species
UACGAAGGGGGGCUAGCGUUGCUCGGAAUCACUGGGCGUAAAGCGCACGUAGGCGGCUUUUUAAGUCAGGGGUGAAAUCCUGGAGCUCAACUCCAGAACUGCCUUUGAUACUGGGGAUCUCGAGUCCGGAAGAGGUGAGUGGAACUCCGAGUGUAGAGGUGAAAUUCGUAGAUAUUCGGAAGAACACCGGUGGCGAAGGCGCUCAUCUGGCCCAAUACUGACGCUGAGGCGCGGAAAGCUAGGGGAGCAAACGGGGAUUAAGAAACCC